AUUGAACGCUGGCGGCAGGCCUAACACAUGCAAGUCGAGCGAGCGGCGGACGGGUGAGUAAUGUAUGGGGACUGCCCGAUAGAGGGGGAUAACUACUGGAAACGGUGGCUAAUACCGCAUACUAUCGGAUAACCCAUAUGGGAUUAGCUAGUAGGUGGGGUAAAGGCUCACCUAGGCGACGAACUCUAGCUGGUCUGAGAGGAUGAUCAGCGACACUGGGCCUGAUACACGGCCCGGACCCCUACGGCGGCCACAGGGGGGAGUAUUGCACAAGGUGGGCAAGCCUGAGGCAGCCAUGCCGCGUGUAUGAAGGAGGCCUUAGAGUGGUUAAGUACUUUCAGCGGGGAGGCGUUUCCCGCAGAAGUAGCACCGGCUAACUCCGUGCCAGCAGCCGCGGUAAUUC
rnacentral:rRNA from 1 species